UGGGGAAUAUUGCACAAUGGGCGGAAGCCCGAUGCAGCAACGCCGCGUGCGGGAUGACGGCCUUCGGGUUGUAAACCGCUUUCGCCUGUGACGAAGCGUGAGUGACGGUAAUGGGUAAAGAAGCACCGGCUAACUACGUGCCAGCAGCCGCGGUGAUACGUAGGGUGCGAGCGUUGUCCGGAUUUAUUGGGCGUAAAGGGCUCGUAGGUGGUUGAUCGCGUCGGAAGUGUAAUCUUGGGGCUUAACCCUGAGCGUGCUUUCGAUACGGGUUGACUUGAGGAAGGUAGGGGAGAAUGGAAUUCCUGGUGGAGCGGUGGAAUGCGCAGAUAUCAGGAGGAACACCAGUGGCGAAGGCGGUUCUCUGGGCCUUUCCUGACGCUGAGGAGCGAAAGCGUGGGGAGCGAACAGGCUUAGAUACCCUGGUAGUCCACGCUGUAAACGGUGGGUACUAGGUGUGGGGUCCAUUCCACGGGUUCCGUGCCGUAGCUAACGCUUUAAGUACCCCGCCUGGGGAGUACGGCCGCAAGGCUA
rnacentral:rRNA from 1 species